ACCGCAGUUUGGGGACACAUAGAGAAGGACAGUAUGGCGUAUCUCUACUAAUUGGAUUCUUCUCUCUCUGCUUCUCCCUUCAAAAGCCCUAUUUAUUAACCAAACCUAUAGCCCACUGCUUUUUCCCAUGCACUUUGUCUUCUUCACCUUCAACACUACUUCCCUAUCUUUCCCCUCUUCCUAUAUAUAUCCCACGCUACUUUCUCUUCUGGGUUCAUGCUUGCCUUACUUCUCUGUCCAUAACUUGUCUCCAACUAAAUCUUCUUCUUUUAAGUCCCUUAUAUAUUCAUCUCCUUUGCAUCGCACCCAUAACCUCAUAAACUUACUUGUUUUUUUCUCUCUGACAAGUUUUCUAGUUCUUUCCCAUUUGUCUAGCUCUCAAGAUUUGUCUCCAUAACUUGGCUACUUAAUUUCUGACAGUUAGUCCUGUAUAUAGUGCAGCAUUAAUAACAAUGUCUAGCAGAAGAUCUCGUUCGAGGCCGUCAUCAGGUGUUUCUAGGAUUAGUGAAGAUCAGAUCAUCGAUCUUGUUUCUAAGUUGCAACAACUUAUCCCUGAAAUUCGCAAUAGGCGCUCCGACAAGGUAUUUAGCAAGCCAACAAGUUUGGUCAUCUCUUAAUUUUUUUUUCUCUCUCUCUACAUGGAUUCAAAAAUUUGUGUGGCCUUCAUUCAUUUAAGCAGAUAAUGUCAUACAUAAACUCACAGCCUCAUUUAUUUUUCAUGUGAUGCUUCUAGCUACAGCAACUUGGAGGUGUGGGACUUGGUUGUUCCCUAGCUAUAGCUGUUAAGCUUUUCCCUUCUGCACACACAAAUGCUUAGAAUCGUAGUUAAUAGAUUGGUUUAGCUUAAAUAAUCAUCUAAUUAAAAUGUAACAAUUGUUACUGAAAUAUUUAUUGAACACUGCAGGUUUCGGCUUCAAAGGUGUUGCAGGAGACUUGCAACUACAUAAGAAGCUUACGCAGAGAGGUGGAUGAUCUCAGUGACCGUUUAUCUGAGCUUUUGGCUUCAACUGACUCCAAUAGUGCUCAAGCAGCCAUAAUUAGGAGUUUGCUUAUGGAGUAAUAAGACGAUAAUUAAACAGCGUUGCAUCCCAUUUCUCCUUCUACUUCUACUUAUAUAUAAAUUAAUGUAUAUCUAGGGUUUUGGUCACUAGGCCAGGACAAGGGUUGCUAUGGGCUUAGUAUAGCUAGCUCCAUUUUUAUGAUAAGACUUGUAGUAAUAUUAAUAUUAAUAGCCCUUAAUAAGAGGACUAGUACGUUUAUUUCCUUAAAGCAUUUUGUACCAAGAAAUUAUUAAACCCACUUUGCAUUAUUAUCUUAUUUGAUGAUUUAUUUGCCA
rnacentral:misc_RNA from 1 species